rnacentral:rRNA from 1 species
CAAUAGCGUAUAUUAAAGUUGUUGCAGUUAAAAAGCUCGUAGUUGGAUUUCUGGGAGGGUGCCAAUGUCCGUCGUCGUACGUGUUGCAGCGGCGCCCUUCCAUCCUUCUGUUAACGACUUUGGGCAUUCACUUGCCGGAGUCGGGCUCAGAUAUUUUACCUUGAGAAAAUUAGAGUGUUUCAGGCAGGCUAGGCCGGAAUACAUUAGCAUGGAAUAAUAAGAUAGGACCUCGGUGCUAUUUUGUUGGUUUGCGCACAGAGGUAAUGAUGAACAGGGACAGUUGGGGGUGGCUAGUAUUGGCCGGCCAGAGGUGAAAUUCUUGGAUUCGGUCAAGACUAACUUAUGCGAAAGACAUUCACC